GGAGAUGUGGCUCAGUGGUAGAGUGCUUGCCUACCAUGCAUGAAGCCCUGGGUUGAAUCCCCAGUAGCACAU
rnacentral:tRNA from 1 species